AACGAACGCUGGCGGCGUGCCUAACACAUGCAAGUCGAACGGGGUGAGGUAGCUUGCUACUUCAUCUAGUGGCGCACGGGUGAGUAACGCGUGGAUAAUCUACCUGAUGCUCUGGGAUAACAUCUCGAAAGGGGUGCUAAUACCGGAUAAGCCCACGGACUCUUUGGAGUUUGCGGGAAAAGGAGGGGACCUUCGGGCCUUCCGACAUCAGAUGAGUCCGCGUCCCAUUAGCUAGUUGGUGGGGUAAAGGCCUACCAAGGCGACGAUGGGUAGCUGGUCUGAGAGGAUGAUCAGCCACACUGGAACCGAGACACGGUCCAGACUCCUACGGGAGGCAGCAGUGGGGAAUUUUGCGCAAUGGGGGAAACCCUGACGCAGCAACGCCGCGUGAGUGAUGAAGGCCUUUGGGUCGUAAAGCUCUGUUGUAGGGGAAGAACUACCACUAUAGGAAAUGAUAGUGGUUUGACGGUACCCUGCCAGAAAGCCCCGGCUAACUACGUGCCAGCCGCCGCGGUAAUAC
rnacentral:rRNA from 1 species